GACGAACGCUGGCGGCGUGCUUAACACAUGCAAGUCGAACGGAAAGGCCCUGCUUUUGUGGGGUGCUCGAGUGGCGAACGGGUGAGUAACACGUGAGUAACCUGCCCUUGACUUUGGGAUAACUUCAGGAAACUGGGGCUAAUACCGGAUAGGAGCUCCUGCUGCAUGGUGGGGGUUGGAAAGUUUCGGCGGUUGGGGAUGGACUCGCGGCUUAUCAGCUUGUUGGUGGGGUAGUGGCUUACCAAGGCUUUGACGGGUAGCCGGCCUGAGAGGGUGACCGGGCACAUUGGGACUGAGAUACGGCCCAGACGCCUACGGGAGGCAGCAGUGGGGAAUAUUGCACAAUGGGCGGGAGCCUGAUACAGCAACGCCGCGUGCGGGAUGACGGCCUUCGGGUUAUAAACCGCUUUCGCCUGUGACGAAGCGUGAGUGACGGUAAUGGGUAAAGAAGCACCGGCUAACUACGUG
rnacentral:rRNA from 1 species